rnacentral:rRNA from 1 species
AAGGGGCAGUAAUGCGUGGGUAUUUACCCUGGGGUCUGGCAUAGCCCUGCGAGAGCAGGGGUAAUUCCAGAUGACGUCGAGAGACCAAAGGUCCGCCGCCCUGGGAGAAGCCCACGUGAUAUUAGCUAGUUGGUGGGGUAACGGCCCACCAAGGCGAAGAUGUCUAGCGGGUGUGAGAGCACGACCCGCGCCACUGGCACUGAGACACUGGCCAGACACCUACGGGUGGCUGCAGUCGAGGAUCUUCGGCAAUGGGGGCAACCCUGACCGAGCGACGCCGCGUGUGCGAUGAAGGCCUUCGGGUUGUAAAGCACUGUCGAGGGGGAGAAAAGCGAAAGCUUGAUCUAUCCCUGGAGGAAGCACGGGCUAAGUUCGUGCCAGCAGCCGCGGUAAGACGAACCGUGCGAACGUUGUUCGGAAUCACUGGGCUUAAAGGGCGCGUAGGCGGGUUGCCAAGUCUGUGGUGAAAUCCUCCAGCUUAACUGGAGAACUGCCGUGGAUACUGGCGACCUCGAGGGUGAUAGGGGUCUCUGGAACUGUGCGUGGAGCGGUGAAAUGCGUUGA